UCAGGCCUAACACAUGCAAGUCGAGGGGUAGAGUUAGCUUGCUAACUUGAGACCGGCGCACGGGUGCGUAACGCGUAUGCAAUCUACCUUGUACAGAGGGAUAGCCCAGAGAAAUUUGGAUUAAUACCUCAUAGUAUCUUCGAGAGGCCUCUCUUGAUUAUUAAAGUUCCAACGGUACAAGAUGAGCAUGCGUCCCAUUAGCUAGUUGGUAUGGUAACGGCAUACCAAGGCUAUGAUGGGUAGGGGUCCUGAGAGGGAGAUCCCCCACACUGGUACUGAGACACGGACCAGACUCCUACGGGAGGCAGCAGUGAGAAAUAUUGGUCAAUGGGCGAGAGCCUGAACCAGCCAUGCCGCGUGCAGGAAGACGGUCCUAUGGAUUGUAAACUGCUUUUAUACAGGAAGAAACCCUCCCACGUGUGGGAGCUGAC
rnacentral:rRNA from 1 species